rnacentral:rRNA from 1 species
UAGGGAAUUUUCGGCAAUGGACGAAAGUCUGACCGAGCAACGCCGCGUGAGUGAAGAAGGUUCUCGGAUCGUAAAACUCUGUUGUUAGAGAAGAACAAGGACGUUAGUAACUGAACGUCCCCUGACGGUAUCUAACCAGAAAGCCACGGCUAACUACGUGCCAGCAGCCGCGGUAAUACGUAGGUGGCAAGCGUUGUCCGGAUUUAUUGGGCGUAAAGCGAGCGCAGGUGGUUUCUUAAGUCUGAGGUGAAAGCCCCCGGCUCAACCGGGGAGGGUGAUUGGAAACUGGGAGGCUUGGGUGCAGAGGAGGAGAGUGGAAUUCCAUGUGUAGCGGUGAAAUGCGUGGAUAUAUGAAGGAACACCAGGGGCGAGGGCGGCUCUCUGGUCUGUAACUGACGCUGAGGCUCAAAGGCGUGGGGGGCAAACAGA